GGCGUGAAUCUCCUCUGCAAGAAGAUGAAUCCACUGUGGUUCUUCCUCUUUCUGCUGUCAGCUCCCAGAGGUGUCCUGUCGCAGGUGCAGCUGCAGGAGUCGGGGCCCAUCCUGGCGAAGCCCUCGCAGACCCUCUCCCUCACCUGCACGGUCUCCGGAUUCUCAUUAACCAGCAAUGCUGUAAGCUGGGUCCGCCAGGCUCCAGGAAAGGGGCUGGAGUGGCUUGGUGUGAUGGUUAGUGGUGGAAGCGCAUAUUAUAACUCAGCCCUGAAGUCCCGGCUCAGCAUCACCAGGGACACCUCCAAGAGCCAAGUCUCCAUGUCACUGAGCAGCGUGACCCCCGAGGACACGGCCGUCUAUUACUGUGCAAGAGGCACAGUGAUGGGAAGUCCGCGUGUCAAAUGUGAGGAGCAGCUGGUGGACUCUGGCGGAGGCUUUGUGCAGCCCGCGGUGGGGGUCUCUGAGAACCUCCUGUGCAGCUUCUGGAUUCACCUUUGCUGA